rnacentral:rRNA from 1 species
AUACUUCUUUCCUUCGGGACUCUUUGCAAGGUGCUGCAUGGUUGUCGUCAGCUCGUGCCGUGAGGUGUCGGGUUAAGUCCCAUAACGAGCGCAACCCUUAUCGUUAGUUGCCAGCGGGUAAUGCCGGGAACUCUAGCGAAACUGCCGGUGUAAACCGAGAGGAAGGUGGGGAUGACGUCAAAUCAGCACGGCCCUUAUGUCCAGGGCUACACACGUGUUACAAUGGCCGGUACAGAGGGCAGCUACCUGGAGACAGGAUGCGAAUCUCGAAAGCCGGUCUCAGUUCGGAUCGGAGUCUGCAACUCGACUCCGUGAAGCUGGAUUCGCUAGUAAUCGCGCAUCAGCCAUGGCGCGGUGAAUACGUUCCCGGGCCUUGUACACACCGCCCGUCAAGCCAUGGAAGUUGGGGGUACCUGAAGUCCGUAACCGCAAGGAGCGGCCUAGGGUAAAACCAGUGACUGGGGCU